rnacentral:rRNA from 1 species
GCAUCGAUGGCUAGGGGUUCUGAGAGGAUGAUCCCCCACACUGGUACUGAGACACGGACCAGACUCCUACGGGAGGCAGCGGUGAGGAAUAUUGGUCAAUGGGCGCAAGCCUGAACCAGCCAUGCCGCGUGCAGGAAGACUGCCCUAUGGGUUGUAAACUGCUUUUCUACAGGAAGAAACUUUGCGACGAGUCGUGAAUUGCCGGUACUGUAGGAAUAAGCAUCGGCUAACUCCGUGCCAGCAGCCGCGGUAAUACGGAGGAUGCAAGCGUUAUCCGGAUUCAUUGGGUNUAAAGGGUGCGUAGGCGGAAUAGUAAGUCAGUGGUGAAAGGCUGCAGCUUAACUGUAGAAUUGCCAUUGAUACUGUUAUUCUUGACUGUAAUUGAGGUAGGCGGAAUGUGUAAUUGUAGCGGUGAAAUGCUUAGAUAUUACACAGAACACCGAUUGCGUAGGCAGCUUACUAAACUAUAACUGACGCUGAGGCACGAAAGCGUGGGGAGCGAACAGGAUUAGAUACCCUGGUAGUCCACGCUGUAAACGAUGAUCACUCGUUGUUGGCAAUACAUCGUCAGCGACUGAGCGAAAGCAUUAAGUGAUCCACCUGGGGAGUACGUUGGCAACGAUGAAACUCAAAGGAAUUGACGGGGGCCCGCACAAGCGGUGGAACAUGUGGUUUAAUUCGAUGAUACGCGAGGAACCUUACCUGGGCUUAAAUGUAGACUGCAUGUGGUGGAAACAUCACUUUCCUUCGGGACCGUCUACAAGGUGCUGCAUGGUUGUCGUCAGCUCGUGCCGUGAGGUGUCGGGUUAAGUCCCAUAACGAGCGCAACCCCCAUUGUUAGUUGCUAACAGGUAAUGCUGAGGACUCUAGCGAAACUGCCGGUGUAAACCGAGAGGAAGGUGGGGAUGACGUCAAAUCAGCACGGCCCUUAUGUCCAGGGCUACACACGUGUUACAAUGGUUGGUACAGAGGGCAGCUACCGGGCGACCGGAUGCUAAUCUCGAAAGCCAAUCUUAGUUCGGAUCGGAGUCUGCAACUCGACUUCGUGAAGCUGGAAUCGCUAGUAAUCGCGCAUCAGCCA